AGAUCCAUAUAAAUCCAUAUCAUGUAUGUUUUGUGGUUUUGUACUCAGACUGAGGUAGUCUGUCCUGAUGUUUGUGUAGUAAAGGGGUGUGGAGGUGUGUGGUGGGGUGUGGAGGUGGUGUGGUAGGGUGUGGAGGUGGUGUAGUGGUGUGUGGAGGUGUGUGGUGGGGUGUGGAGGUGGUGUAGUGGUGUGUGGAGGUGUGUGGUGGUGUGUGGAGGUGGUGUAGUGGUGUGUGGAGGUGUGUAGUGGUGUGUGGAGGUGAUGUAGUGGUGUGUGGAGGUGGUGUAGUGGUGUGUGGAGGCGUGUGGUGGGGUGUGGAGGUGGUGUAGUGGUGUGUGGAGGUGUGUGGUGGUGUGUGGAGGUGGUGUAGUGGUGUGUGGAGGCGUGUGGAGGUGGUGUAGUGGGGUGUGGAGGUGUGUAGUGGUGUGUGGAGGUGGUGUAGUGGUGUGUGGAGGUGGUGUAGUGGGGUGUGGAGGUGUGUAGUGGUGUGUGGAGGUGGUGUAGUGGUGUGUGGAGGUGGUGUAGUGGUGUGUGGAGGCGUGUGGAGGUGGUGUAGUGGUGUGUGGAGGUGUGUGGAGAUGUGUGGUGGGGUGUGGAGGUGGUGUAGUGGUGUGUGGAGGUGUGUGGUGGGGUGUGGAGGUGGUGUAGUAGUGUGUGGAGGUGUGUGGUGGUGUGUGGAGGUGGUGUAGUGGUGUGUGGAGGUGGUGUAGUGGGGUGUGGAGGCGUGUGGAGGUGGUGUAGUGGUGUGUGGAGGUGGUGUAGUGGCGUGUGGAGGUGGUGUAGUGGUGUGUGGAGGCGUGUGGAGGUGGUGUAGUGGUGUGUGGAGGCGUGUGGAGGUGGUGUAGUGGGGUGUGGAGGUGGUGUAGUGGGGUUUGGAGGUGGUGUGGUGGGGUGUGGAGGUGGUGUAGUGGUGUGUGGAGGUGGUGUAGUGGGAUGUGGAGGUGGUGUGGUGGUGUGUGGAGGUGGUGUAGUGGGGUGUGGAGGGGUGUGGUGGGGUGUGGAGGUGGUGUAGUGGGGUGUG
ensembl:lncRNA